rfam:Cavia porcellus supercont2_26 genomic scaffold, whole genome shotgun sequence.
GGGGAUUUAGCUCAGCGGCAUAAGCGCCUGCCUUGCAAGCAGGCAGUCGUGAGUUCAAUUCCCG